rnacentral:rRNA from 1 species
UACGUAGGGGGCAAGCGUUGUCCGGAUUUAUUGGGCGUAAAGAGCGUGUAGGCGGCUAGACAGGUCCGCUGUGAAAACUCGAGGCUCAACCUCGAGACGUCGGUGGAAACCGUCUGGCUAGAGUCCGGAAGAGGAGAGUGGAAUUCCCGGUGUAGCGGUGAAAUGCGCAGAUAUCAGGAAGAACACCUAUGGCGAAGGCAGCUCUCUGGGACGGUACUGACGCUGAGACGCGAAAGCGUGGGGAGCGAACAGG